rnacentral:lncRNA from 1 species
CUUUGGAGCACCCCUCCCUCUGUCUCUGUAUGGGGGAGCUUCUUCCUUCAUUCUUGCCUAUUAAACUCUCUGCUCCUUAAAACCACUCCAUGUGUGUCCAUGUCAUUUUAUCUAAUUCAACGUGAGAUGAAGAACCCUGGUGUUCCUCCACUCAUGGGAUCUGUACCAAUCUCAGCACUAUUUUCCACUGUCUUCCUCUUCCCUGGGUUGCUCAAGUUCACACAGAUGUGUCCUCACCAGGACCUCACAGUCAAAGAGACUUUUCUGUCUUUCUGUGUCAGUUUGAUGGGAGACCAGAUUCCAACCACUAGACACGGCUGCGUCCCUGAAGGCCCGGCUGCUGCAGGCCUCCCUCGAUCUGGCCAGGAAUGACUCCUUUCCUCCUCUAUUGCUAUCAGGAGAGGUAGGAGGUGUUAGAGAGACCUCCCCUGCCCACCACACACACCUUCCAGCUUGAGGCUGCCUAAAGAUCCCUCAGAAACCCCUGACCUUGUCCCUUCCCUUCCCCCUCCUCCUUGUUCUCCACGCUCUGACCAAGUGGAAUUUUCCCCUUCACCACUUCAGGGUCACUUGGUAAAGAUUAGUUGGGCAGAAAAGUCAGGGUUGGAGGAAGGGUGUAUUUGGAAAGAGGGCUGGGCUGGAGAUGAGGAAACUUGGGGUCCAGAAGCUGCUCUGCCACACUCCAGCUCACUGACCCUGGUCAAGUUGCCUCACCCACUUGGGCCUCUCUUUCCUCAUUUGCCUAAUAAACGUUUGAAAUCCCUACACUACUCUUAAAGUGUCUACAACAUUUAAAAGCAAAUUGCCCCUAUUAGAAAUCUGGGGCCGCUCCUGCCUUUUCCACGACCUCCCUGCUAGAAGGUCCCAGAACUUUCCCUUUUGACUCCAGAGACACCAACUCUGCUGAUGUCACAACUCUC